UUAAAGGACUUGACACCUUGAAGACACCAGGUCCAAUCUGAUCUCGGAUGCUAAGCAGGGAAAGCCCUGGUUAGUAGUUAAUGGGUUACUGCCAACAAAUACCAGGUGUUGUAGGCU
rnacentral:rRNA from 1 species